UGGAGCAUGACAGGGUUAUUAUGACUAUUAUUUAUUAGAAGUAUUACGGGCUUUCUUUUUCUGUUUUUAGGUGAGAGCUGCUAGUGAUGUGCUGAAUAAGGAGGGACUCGGCUCCUUCUCGCAGGUGAGCAGCUGGAAGGGCAGUGACAGGCUGUACCCACGCACUCACAGCACUGCUGGCACAAAGGUCCCAAGUGCUGCUCCCCGGCUCCCAUUUAAAUAAUUGGAAAAAUAAUGCUCCAAAAUAACAGAGCGAGUGGUCCUCCCCAUUGUGAGCUCAAUAUUGGGCCACGCUACUGCAUGAUCGGGACAAAGAGACGAUGAUACAGGCUGGUUUCUAUGGCAACAGAGGAGGGGUAGCUAAAACAGAAAUGUUGCAAACACGGGCGCUGCUCACCGCACCGCUGCGCAGGGUACCGCCGCCUGCAAAACGUCCGGAUGCCUCCACCUUUCGGCUUGCGGAGUUCUGACAUGCACAGACAUGGCAAUUUGUUCUCCGUUUAGCUGCAAAGAGAAAGGGAACACCAUACACGGCCCCCCGUUUUCUGUGUGUAAAAUGUAUGCGUUCUUUAAAAGGCAGUGGUUGGCUGGUUUUCCGGACAUGAUGUGGUUGAAGCUGUCAUCGUAAUGGAAAUUCAUUGCUGUAGCUAUGGUAAAUCGAGUUUUCUGCCUGUGCUGAAUGCAUUAGUCUAAUGAGAUGUUUGCAGCUGGAGAGCGGAGCUGCUGGAGGCUCGCGUGGUGCUAGGAGGCAGGAGAAGAUGGCUUGUGCUGGGCUCUGUGAGCAUGUGCUGAAAGUCCUGUGCCCAGCGGCUCCAGACGCCCGGGCACUCUAAAGGCACUGCCCAGGCUUCUAACAGAGGCGAUAGGUGCUUCCAGGACAAACUUGGGAAGGACCCUGCGCCUGGAGGAGAUGCACACACGACCUGUCAGUCCUGUCAGCUGCUGUCCAGUCCACAGCCCGUGCCUCGUCUGCCACUGGUGAAGGCCAGCACAGCUCCUGGGAUGAGCCAUUCUCCGCCCCUGCCCACCCUCCAGGACCCCGCAGCCAUGCCAUCCCCCCGCAUCGCAGGGAGGAAGCGAGGCCGGCCCCCGUUGCAGCCUGCACCCAUCAAGGUGACCGUCCAAAGCCUAUUCUCUGCACCCAGUGGGGCUCUGCCAGUCGUAAAGAUCCCAAAGAAGAGAGGGAGGAAGC